CCAGAACCAAGCAGAUGCUGACACCAUGCCCUUGCAUCUCCAGAACUGUGAGCUAAACAAAGUCCUUUUGAAAUAAAGCAUCCAGCUUCAGAUAUUACUCAUGCCAACAUACUACAGAGGGUAUCCUAGGGCCUCGGCAAGAUCUUGUGCAAGUUUAAAUGAAGCCCUGAAGCUUGAAGUUUAUUAGCCGUAUGGUGGCACUGCCAAUAGGCUUGCAGCCUGGAUGGAAUGAAAAGGCAGAAGGAGGAAGUCCGCCGGUAUUUGAAAAGUUCCACUCUGCUCGAAUGAGUGCAUCUUUUGCUUCGACCAUCACCAGUGGACAUGAGAUUCCUGCUUCUUCAGGCUUUCAACUCAGACUCUCACCAGUGACUCUCCAGGGAACUUCCAGGCUUUUGGUCUUAGACUUGUGCUGGCUGCAUCAAUCCCUCUUGUUCUAUGGCUUCGUGCUUCUCACGUUGAGCAGCUCCUGGAUCCCCUGAUCUCCAGCAUGCAGACAGCCAUGGUGGGGUCUCCCACUUCUGAUCCUGUAAGCCUUCCUAAUAAAAGCCCUUGCCUGA
rnacentral:lncRNA from 1 species